rnacentral:rRNA from 1 species
ACAUGCCUACAACAUAGCAUUAAUGCAGAAGAUCCCAUUAGAACACCACAGUUAAGUGCGUUCAUGCUAGAGUAGUACUGGGAUGGGUAACCGUUAGUUCUUCGACUUAGUGCAUUUG